GAGAUUGCUGAAGUCCAUUUUUUUACCAGCACAAAUGUUCUCUGAUUUAAUACGAGUCAUUAUGCAAACACAGCCUUAAGCUUUUUAGUAUAGGGAGCCUAAGGCUCCCGAGUGGCGCAAUCUAAGGCACUGCAUCUCAGUGCAAGAGACGUCACUACAGUCCCUGGUUUGAUUCCAGUCUGUAUCACAUCUUGCUGUGGUUGGGAGUCCCAUAGGGUGGCACACAGUUGGCCCAGCAUUGGCUGGGGUAGGCCAUCAUUGUAAAUAAGAAUUUGCUUUUAACUGACUUGCAUAGUUCAAUUAAAAAUAUAUAUAUUUGCAUAAGGCAUGCAUUUUGGUUGUUGUGGAAGAGCCUAGUAUGUAUGUUCAACAUACAUACUGGGAGUCAGAACAUAUGGAAGACGGGCAAGACAUGUUUGGUAACUGAAGCUCGCUGGUGACGAGAGGAGGCUCAGACAGGCUUAACCAAGGACCUCAGCCACCCGAGCCUGUUCACCCCCCUACCUUCAAGAAGGCAGAGACACUACAGGCGCGUCAAAGCUGUGACCGAGAGAUUGAAACCACUAGCCGGCCUCCGCCCAGUACCCUGCCCUGAACUUUACUCACUGUUACUAGUCGGGCUCCCACCAGAGUCAGAUGACCUCGUGCAAUGGAGGCUGCUGAGGGGAGGACGGCAACAUCAUAAUGGCUGGCACUGAGCGAAUGUAAUGACAUCAAACACAUGGAAACAACGGGUUUGAUGUUGUUGAUACCUUUCCACUCCAGCCAUUACCACGUGCCCAUCCUCCACAAUUACGGUGCCGCCACCAACCCCAAAAUGAACUCAUGGAUACCAUUGUUAUGUCUCUGUGUCCAGUAUGAAGGAAGUUAGAGGUAGUUUCGUGAGCCAAUGCUAAUUAGCGUUAGCGCAAUGACUGGGAGUCUAUGGGUAUCUGCUAGCAUGCUAGAUAAAAUCCCAAAGUAUCCCUAUAACAGUGGUUAUUGAGGGUGUGUACACUUCAAACAGCUAACGAUGUGGGUAACCGUUGUGGCGUGUAGUAACAACAAAGCAACAGUACAUAAGGGCGAGAGCAGCAAAUCUUUUGUUUCAUCAGAAGAUACAUCGCUCCUUCAAGCAGAAUCAUGUCAUCAUAUAGAGGUCUAAAGUAGUGCACUAUAUAGGGAAUGGACAUAACCCCCUCAGGAGGUUGAAAAGAUUACAGCUGCACCAUUGAGAGCAUCUUGACUUGUUGCAUCACUGCUUGGUAUGGCAACUACACCGCCCUCAAUCGCAUGGCGCUACAGAGGUUGGCGUGGACAGCCCAGUACAUCACUGGGGCCGAGCUCCCUGCCAUCCAGGACCUCUAUAUCAGGCAGUGUGAAAGGACGGCCUCGUCAAUUAUCUUGAAAGAUAACGUAUACUUUAAAAACUGGAAAUCAACUAAUCCUCCGUUGUUAACCCUAUGGAAAGGUCAAAUGCUUUAUUAUCUCAAUGUUGAAAGUAGGUGAGGUGACAGAGAGAAACAAAAGGGUUCAGUUUGAGGUCACGUGGCGGAGAGCGAUGCGGGCGCUGGAGAUGGGUGUGUGAGCAGGUGGGUCUGGGCAGGUAGGAUGUUGUUGUUGUUUGUAUGUGUGUGUUUUAUAUUGUAAAAAAUAAUGUACAAAAAAAAUAAAGCCCCAGAAAAUCAUUAGACUCCAGCUAUCCAAGCCAUAGACUGUUCUCUCUUCUUCCGCACGGCAAGUUGUACCGGUACAUCAAGUCUGACACCAAGAGGCACCUGAACAGCUUCUAUCCCCAAGCCAUAACACUGCUAAGUAGCUAAAAAAAAUGGCAACACAGACAAUCUGAGUUGACUCUUGAAUGUUUAUAUUUUUUUGCACUGUCUUUAUGCACACUCACAGGACUCUACUCACUCACACUCCAACACACACACUCCA